rnacentral:lncRNA from 1 species
CAGAUUCAGAUACCCAGUUUGUCUCUGUGGGUAUAAAGCACGUGAAGUUCUGGACCCUGGCAGGAAGGGCUCUUCUCAGCAAAAAGGGGCUUCUGAGCACCCUGGAGGAUGCCCGGAUGCAGACGAUGCUCGCUGUUGCAUUUGGUGCAGUAUGUCUGUUAAAGUGCUGUGUGAUGUGUGAUCUUGAAUGUGUCUUGCCAUACAUUCAUAAACAGCAUGAAUAUUGAUUGGGAACUAUAACCUGACAAUCACUACAAGUCCCAGUCCAGGACAUAAAUCAUCUCUUAAAAGCGGAUCCUUUUAACCAUUAAGGAGUGGCAGAAAGUGAAUGAGGUCAUUACUGUGACACAUUUGCAUCCUUGGAUCAUUCCUGUCCUCCAAGGCUUCAUUGGCUGUGUGCUUGUCACCUCUGCAAGUGACAAAGUGGAGUCUCCUAGUGCUUCCUGGUGCACCUCACGUGUGUCAUCAGGAAAAGGAGGGAAAUAGGAAACCACAUUCAGGUGGUUUCAGGGCACAUUUGGAUGUAAAGUUUCCUUUGCUCUGUCCUGGAACCUCUGUUCAUCUCGUGCUGGAAGUGCUCUGGGCCACUGAUUCAGGGGAGCACAGAGCUGAGAGCAGAGAGCGCAGUCCCGCCCUUAGUGGAGUGAGUGUUCAAGAGCCUCUUGCUUUCUGUCAUUCCGUCCACCUGUGUCUGCCGUUUAUAAUCUUUAUAAUCCCUGUCUCUCCAUUAAUUCCCUGCCCUGGCUAGGCUUCGCAGACUCUUUGGUUCCACAGAAAACUAAGUAGACUUUUAAAAAAUAUGCAGGCAUUAUAUAUUUUAAGAAAGGAAGUUAC